UACGUAGGGUGCAAGCGUUGUCCGGAAUUAUUGGGCGUAAAGAGCUCGUAGGCGGUUUGUCGCGUCUGCUGUGAAAACCCGAGGCUCAACCUCGGGCCUGCAGUGGGUACGGGCAGACUAGAGUGCGGUAGGGGAGAUUGGAAUUCCUGGUGUAGCGGUGGAAUGUGCAGAUAUCAGGAGGAACACCAGUGGCGAAGGCAGAUCUCUGGGCCGUAACUGACGCUGAGGAGCGAAAGCAUGGGGAGCGAACAGG
rnacentral:rRNA from 1 species